UGCCAAAUUGCAGGCCAGCGU
rnacentral:siRNA from 1 species